GCUGAGUACAGGUCUGAAGCUAGAUUACUAGCGAUAUAGAGAUUACAGAGAUAAUUGAGCUUUAUUAAGCUUCGCACUUGUUUGAGGAUACAGAGUUCUAUAGUUCACUGAGUUUUGAAAAUCAUGGCUCGGUUGGAAUUAUCGAGAAACUGACAUAGGCUCUAGACAAAAGCUCUAUUUUCGGGUAUAAAUACCCCCAGUACUCGAUAACAUAAAAGUAAAGCAUCAUCAUUUGUUCAAGCAUCACAA
rnacentral:lncRNA from 1 species